UUGUUACUGUGUCCGUUUCACUCAGCUUGCUGUGUCCGUUUAUUACUGUGCGCAUCUGGAACGCUCCCGAAUGUUCGACGUUCAAGAAGAUUUUGCAAAAAGAGAAAAGAAGGACCGGCUGGGAGAAUACAAAACAGUAAUCACAGAAAAAAGAAAAACUGAUACUGUAUACAAAUGCGCGAAGUUUGAUAGCCAAUAAGAUAGCCAAUAAUGAAAUACAUAAUCAAGUUAUAAACACGAUUCUUUCAGCGGUUAUAGCAUUGUUCGAAACGAGGCUAACGUUUGAAAUGGAAGAUAGUGAAGUAAAUGUGCCGGAUUAUGAUAUAAUCAGAUGUGAUAGUGAGAAUAGAAGUACAGCAGGUGCAAUAUUAUACCUAAAAGAAGCCAUUAAGGGGAUGCUGGAGUCGUCUGUUUUACCAAUUGAACACUAAUUAUUUUUGGAUACGCUUUGCUCUUAAUUGAUUUCAUAGAAUUGUAAAUCCUUCUCUAGAAUUUAAAUAUAAACAAUAACAAAGGGUGUGUAAUUACAAUUUCAUGUGAAAAACAAAAAAAGUUAGAAAAUUAUACUUUCGUGCAGCCGUCUUGUGACUUUAAUCUGCAGCACUAAGUUUUAAAGACUCUAUACGUACAAAAUAACUAUUAUGCACCCUUGUCAUUACAAAAAAGAAUAAUAAUGUGCUUUCAGAAAUAAGCUAGAAGCUUUAGUAUAAGGGAAUAAUGUAUCUGAAAAUUUCAUGUAUGUGUGAGUGUGGAUUCGAAAGAAGUUGAUAAGUAGAAUAAUAUGAAAACAGUUUUUUUUCGUUCUCGUUUGUUUGCUUGUGAACAGCUGCUUGCAAGGCAAAGACGGAAGGGAUUUCUACACCGCAUUGUGACUGGAGACUCAAAAUGGGGUCAUUACGAUAACCCCAAGCGCAGAAAAUCGUAGGGACUUCCUGGCCAUGCUUCCACGUCGACGGUCAAACCGAAUAUUCACGGCUCCAAGGCAAUUCGGUAUCAAAAGCAAUUGAUGCGUUUGAACCAAGCACUGAAAAACAAACAGCCGCAAUACAACGAUAGACACGAUAAAGUGAUUUUGCAACAUGACAAUGCUCGACCCCUUGUCGCAAAGCCCGUCAAAACAUACUUGGAAACGUUGAAAUGAGAAGUCCUACCCCACCCGCCAUAUUCUCCGGACAUUGCUCCCUCUGUCUAUCACUUGUUUCGAUCAAUGACACACGGUCUGCCUGACCAGCACUUCCGUUCUUAUGAAGAAGUGAAAAAUUGGAUCGAUUCGUGGAUCAUCUCAAAAGAUGACCAGUUUUUUCGACGCGGGAUUUGUAUGCUGCCAGAAAGAUAAAAGAAAGUAGUGGCCAGCAAUAGACAAUACUUUGAAUCGUAAAUGUAUAACCAGUUUUUCACAAUAAAACCUCGACUUUCGAAAAAAAA